AAGAAACCCCACCUCCCGGUGAACAGGUGUCAUCAGCUGCUUUGUGCAGAUGUGGAAGGGGAGAUCAGAGACAGUGAUUUUCCCAGAGAGGCACAGCAGGGUAGGCAGUGGGUCCACUUUACCCAUCUCAGACAUCCUGCCUUCCUCUAAUACCAGGCCCUCACUUGGAGCUGGGCACUUGUACGGACCAAACGGGGACCUUCCCAUUUAAUUCACAGCUCAAAGAAGUUGUUUUGCAAAUGCAAAGAUCAGGGCCCCGGAGGGGCAGAGCCAUUUGCCGCAGGCCACCUGGAGGAACGAGGAGGAAGAAACAGCGGAGGCUCUAAGGGACGGGUGCGGGAUUCCCGGGGCUCCCCUCCGCUGGGGACCUCGAUCUCCGCCCCUCCUGCAGCCACGGCCAGGCUCACCGAGCGGAAGGGGCGGCGGCGGCGGCGGUGGCCAAUGGGCUGCGCAGAGCGUCACUUCC
rnacentral:lncRNA from 1 species